UACGGAGGGUGCAAACGUUGCUCGGAAUUAUUGGGCGUAAAGCGCGCGCAGGCGGUUUCUUAAGUCUGAUGUGAAAGCCCACGGCUUAACCGUGGGGGGUCAUUGGAAACUGGGGAACUUGAGUACAGAAGAGGAGAGCGGAAUUCCACGUGUAGCGGUGAAAUGCGUAGAUAUGGGGAGGAACACCAGUGGCGAAGGCGGCUCUCUGGUCUGUAACUGACGCUGAGGCGCGAAAGCGUGGGGAGCGAACAGG
rnacentral:misc_RNA from 1 species